UCCUUACCGGUUCGUAAUUUGCCGCCUGGUUCCUCUACACAGAGAGAAAAAUACAUUCUCUCAGAGACUGUGGACUUCCAAGAGAGCUUUUGUAAGCCUGGUCGCGAGCAAACGAGACAGAGACAGGCUGGGCGAACGCGCGAUAGAGAGAGAGCGAGCUAGCGAGAGGGGGAGCCAAGCGGCCCAGUCGAUUGUUUUUGGCGCUGGUGGAGCUCAUUCACUCGUUUCUGGCGCUCGCGUGCAGUCGCUGCUCCCUAACGGUUGUUUCGCCGUCGCCAGAUCCCGAAAAGAUCCAUCCAACUGAAACUACAGUGCAAUAAAAUAAAAUU